rnacentral:lncRNA from 1 species
CGGCCUUGUUUAGUGUGAGAAUAUGGUUCUCUUAACUCCAUUAGAUUUAAGUGCUAUUUGUGUCAUUCACAUAGAUUGUGCUUGUCUAGUUUUAUUGUGGACCAUUGGAUGGGAUCGACGGCUGGGAUUUAUUCUAUGUGAAAUAUUUUUUUGUUGCUUUAGCUUGUGUGAGAAGCUUUGACUAUUUUCCACCAAAUAGCGCUUUCUCACGUUUUUGGCAAAACAAGUCUUUCUCUCCAAAAAAUCGGCCCUCUCUCUCCUCCUCAAGACUUCUCUCUCCAUUUGCACCUUACUGUGAUGUUUCUCAAAGCUUGGUAGAAGAGAGGGGUGAGGUGGUGGCGGUUUCAAAGGAGGUUCUUUGUCGAUUUUCUAGCUCUCUCUUUGGAAGGUGAUUUUCAUGACAUGGGAGUUGUUCCUCAGCCUGAAAAUCAGCCAUAAACAAGAGAAGUUGCUGUCCAGAUUUUCGGCCAUUAAUGGGUUGUAUUUUCG